AAAAGGAAUAGCAUAAUUUAAGAUAAGAAGAGAAAUUGUAUGUGAAAGCUGUGCAAUCAUGUUUUUUGAAAUUACAUGUUAAGAAAAAGUCAAAUUUAUGAUUUCUUUUUUAUACAUAAUUGUGUACCUGUGUAUCGGUCCCUUUUUUUCUUCUUUUCUUUUUUUUGUGAUCUGUUUCUGGGUAGAAGAUAUAGUGGCUUAGGAGAAUCUAGAUCUUUUGUGGGGGCAAAUCUGUGGUGUAAAGCUGAUAUAUUAUGAUGAAAAUGAGGCAGAUAUUUGGAUAGAGAUGAAGGGAAUUAGGAUAGAUAAUUGGGUAGAACAGAAAGGCAUUUGGGCAAAUAACGAUGUUUUUGGAAAGAUAUUUGAGUAUGGGGUUUUGACAUGAUAUUUGUGAAGCAUUUUGACAGAUUGAUGCUAACCAUCUUUUCGUUAUGUACUGCUAUACAUGCUUGUUAUAAGAAGAUCAAAAUGUACAUAUUUGUCGUGCGAAGUCUUUGAAAUAUCUUUAUUGUAGAGGAAUGAUCAAGAAAGAAAUCUAGGUAUCUGAUUAGAUUGUUACAUUUUAUUGGGAAAUUAUUCUGGCUAUAUUAAUUAUUGAUAACAUCUCAGUGGCUGGUUUGUCAAAGACCUGUUUAUAUAGACAUUUAAUGCUUAAGUUGAUGGGAGAGUUUGGUUUCAUUUGUGAUGGAGAAACAAAGACUCUCUAAAGAUAGUCUUGAUGUUAGUUUUUGCCUAAAUGACUAAGUUAAAAAAACACAGAAAGGGUAUUUUAUUGGGAUGUUUUCUUCCAUUCUGCCAUUUGAAUUUAAUACAUUUGAAGAAAAAUAAGUUCCACAGCUUAAUUCUCUCUCAUUUGGCAUUCAUUGGUUCUAUGGCUUUGCUGAUAAAGGGCAGCUGACUUGUAUUAUUGCAGUAUAUGAUCCUUGAUAACUGAGAUUUUAGACAACCUCUGAUUAUGCCUUUUAGUUCUAGCUGCUAGGAAGAGGUGGCAAAGCAUUCUGCUGAGAUGUUAAUUUUCCCUUAAAGGAAAGUAAUUGCAAAAGUAUCUUCUAUACCUAGUUAAGUGAUAAAAGUUUGAAUUUUGUGAAUAUGAAUAGAAAGACAAAAUGAAACAAUUUUUUUUUGUUUGUUUGUUUGUUAAGGUCCAUAUCAACAAGCAGGACUUGUUUGCUCCAAAGAGGGUGCGUAUAUAUAUGACGUAUCUUGAAACUUGUUUCCUGAUAUUGUUUACAUCAGUCAGGACUACCUUUAUUUUCACAGUGCUUUAUGCUUACAUUAGUACAUUUUAGAUAUGCUUCCUAAGAGACCAGUUCAUGCAUUACUUUACUUUACUUUACUUUUUUAUUUUCUUUUACUCCAAACCAUGGUGGUUCAUUCAGAAAAACCUGUCUGGUUCCGUGCUUUUCAUACUAAUUUCAUACUACUAAGUUUCAUACUUCAACAACUCUUGAGUUUUAUUCUCAGUGUUGAUAAAAAAAAUCAAGUGAAAUUAUUUUAUUUAUAUAAGAAUAUGAAAAGAGUGAUUGGUGCAGUGAUUAUGCAUUUUGUUUCACAUACUUUGAGAAGUGAUGCAAACUCUAUUCAGCAUCCUCAAAGUUAUUUUGUAUUCGUUCACCAUUUUCAGCAUUAUAUUAUAUCCAUUUAUCGCAUCAAUUUCAAAUUAUCAUAAUGUACUAACUUGUCUAUCAUAUUUCAUAUGUUAAGCAUAUCUUUUUGUUUAUUUUAGAUUUUUCUAAAAGUCUGAGAUUACCAUGUUUAACUCCAUUCAAAAUUAUUUUUCCAAUUUCUAGAUUAUUUUUCAUUCAUUCAGUUCUAUUUUUCAUUUCAUGUAAAAAAAAAUUCAUCCACGCGACUUCAUUUUCACCCAUUCAAUGUUAUUUCGACGUCCAGCUUCCCGAGGACCGGCUGGAGCCCACACAGCAAGUGCUCAAUCGUUAAAAAGAGAGAGAGAGAGAGGAGGGAGUGGGGUUGAGAAGACUUGGUGGGUCCCCUGGCUCCCAGCGCCCCCUACACACCCCUCCAGGCCGUGCCCCCUCCUGGCAUGGCGGGCCUGCACUCCCCCCCACUCACCUCCUCCCCCCGCCACCACCAGGUCUCCCCCAGGCAGGGCCCCCACGGUGCAGGCAGGGGCCUCGCUUCGGGGGGCACGGGGGACACCUCCUCCCCAGCUCGACGGCUACGUGAUUUUGAUGUGCGAGCGGAGAUGGAAAAGCACAAAUUCAAUCUCUCCAUCGAUGACUGAGGUCCAUGCAGCUAGCAACUUUUUUUUUCUUAAUCAAUCAUUUUUAUUUUGUCUGCUUGGUUGUUUCAUGAAAUUAUGAAUUAAAAGCUGAUUUUUUUUUUAAGGUAAGGUAAGAUAGAGUGAAGCCAGUUUUCAAUUCAAAAUUUUCUUUUGUAUGCUGAAUCACUUGCCAUUUUUAGGUUUCUUAUCUUUCUUUCUUUUCUUUUCUUUUUCUUUUUUUAAGGAGAGGUUAUGUUAUGUUAUAUAUAAUUAGAAUUUUCUUUUCCCUUGUUUCUUUCUUCCAAAAUCUCAGCAUUUGUGACAGAAGUAGCCCACAGCCUUUUUAUUUCAACAUAGCUCUCAGAGUUUUACAACAUUCAUGCCAGAUAUAUAUAAACACAUCCCUAUAUCUAUACACAUUAAUAGUAUUAUCAUUAUAUGAACUAUCUUGACUGGUUAAAAUACCCGUAUCCAAAUGCUUCCUUCAUUUAGUAAGUGGAUAAUUCUCCUGCUUGUGCCUGUUUCCAAAGUAUUCAGAUGUGAUAAGGUUUCCCUUUUGUUUCCUCAUUUUUAUGUAGAAUAGGCAUUGUAUUGUGUUAACAGGAGACAGGUUUAAAAAAAAUACUCGUUAUCUUCGUAUUAAUGACUUUUUUUUUCUCACUUCUUUUUUAUUCAUUGUGUCUCUCCUGUUUGACACCAUGUACAGAAUGCAGUUGACGUACAUACAUACAUAUAUAUCUUUGAGAAGGAUUCUUAAAUAUGUUCUGUAUAUGCAAUGCUUUGUUGAUUGUAUAGAAAAAUAUUGCUUCAAGUACUCUAGACUGGGCCCUUAAUUGUUAGUUGAUUUUGGUAAAAUAAAUGAAAAAAAGGGGCUGUGAAAAAGCAAAAUUGUGUUGGGGUUCUUUAUAAUAGCAAAAUAUUUCUUGUAUAUGUCCAUUGUAGCAUGGUAAGAUGUCCUCUGUAUGUUACUUGUAAAUAAAAGAAUUUAAAGUAAA